AUUGAACGCUGGCGGCACGCCUAACACAUGCAAGUCGAGCGGCAGCGCGAUAUGUAGCAAUACAUAUUGGCGGCGAGCGGCGGACGAGUGAGGAACACGUAGGAACCUACCCUCGAGUGGGGGAUAACCAAGGGAAACUUUGGCUAAUACCGCAUGAACUCGAGAGAGCAAAGCUGCCGCAAGGUGGCGCUCGAGGAGGGGCCGGCGUCCGAUUAGCUGGUUGGGGAGGUAAGUGCUCACCAAGGCGAUGAUCGGUAACUGGUCUGAGAGGACGACCAGUCACACGGGGACUGAGACACGGCCCAGACUCCUACGGGAGGCAGCAGUGGGGAAUAUUGGACAAUGGGGGCAACGCUGAUCCAGCGAUGCCGCGUGAGUGAAGAAGGCCUUCGGGUCGUAAAGCUCUUUAGGUUGGGAAGAAGGGUGAUGGAGGAAAUGCUAUCACUUUGACGGUACCGACAGAAUAAGCACCGGCAAACUCUGUGCCAGCCGCCGCAGUAAAAC
rnacentral:rRNA from 1 species